UACGGAGGGUGCAAACGUUGCUCGGAAUCAUUGGGCGUAAAGCGCACGUAGGCGGCCUGAUAAGUCGGGUGUGAAAGCCCUGGGCUCAACCCAGGAAGUGCACUCGAAACUGUCAGGCUUGAAUAUGGAAGAGGGUCGCGGAAUUCCCGGUGUAGAGGUGAAAUUCGUAGAUAUCGGGAGGAACACCAGUGGCGAAGGCGGCGACCUGGGCCAAUAUUGACGCUGAGGUGCGAAAGCGUGGGGAGCAAACAGGAUUGAGAAACCCU
rnacentral:rRNA from 1 species